rnacentral:lncRNA from 1 species
AAUGAAGCAUCGGGAAGCCACUGGAGCUGCUGCUUUGGAACCCCUCCGAUCAGGGGAGGAGGAAAUCUGAAACAACUUUCCUGACUGCUUUAGGGAGAGAGGCAAGCAGCCAGCCACUGGGGCACUUGGCAAAGCAGAGAACAGCAGCCUGGAUUCACCUGACGCCUGGCGUGAGGAAAGAGCUGGCAGGCAUCCUGCCUCAGCCAUCUGUGCCUCCGCUCCUCACCAAAGUGGGAAAGCAUUUCAAAUAAACGAUUUUGAACGCACGUUCGAUCCAUUCAAGUUCUCAUGACCUCACAAGAGAAAGGCCUCCGGGACUCGCACUGUCGGCUGCCGGAGGGAGGGCUGAUGAACAAUAUUCUCUGAGCUUGUUCAGAAAGAAAGGGAAGAACCCGGGCAAAACACAAACAGCUCUACCGAGUUUCAGAGAGAUGGGAAUCACCUUGCAGGUGGUGGAACCACAUGGCUCGUUUAUGGUCUGAAUAAGCAUCCUCACUCAAGUUGGCACUUGAGCAUAGGACACCAACUGCCGCUGACCUGAUGUUUAAAUUGCAACAUCUUAUUUGUAAGCCAAGUUUUCAUUUAUUUUGCCUUUUUUUUUUCCCGUACCUUUGCCUUAAACAAGAUUGCUUUAGGGACCCAGGAGUAUUCCACA